rnacentral:tRNA from 1 species
AUACUGAUAGUAUCCCUACUCCUGUACAGCUGCCUUCCAAGCAGAAAGACCUAUGAAGGUCAGUAUA